rnacentral:rRNA from 1 species
AUUGAACGCUGGCGGCAUGCCUUACACAUGCAAGUCGAACGGCAGCACGGGAGCAAUCCUGGUGGCGAGUGGCGAACGGGUGAGUAAUAUAUCGGAACGUGCCCAGUAGUGGGGGAUAACUGCUCGAAAGAGCAGCUAAUACCGCAUACGACCUGAGGGUGAAAGCGGGGGAUCGCAAGACCUCGCGCUAUUGGAGCGGCCGAUAUCAGAUUAGCUAGUUGGUGAGGGAAAGGCUCACCAAGGCGACGAUCUGUAGCUGGUCUUAGAGGACGACCAGCCACACUGGGACUGAGACACGGCCCAGACUCCUACGGGAGGCAGCAGUGGGGAAUUUUGGACAAUGGGCGCAAGCCUGAUCCAGCCAUGCCGCGUGCGGGAAGAAGGCCUUCGGGUUGUAAACCGCUUUUGUCAGGGAAGAAACGGCUCCUACUAAUACUGGGGGCUAAUGACGGUACCUGAAGAAUAAGCACCGGCUAACUACGUGCCAGCCGCCGCAGUAA